UUUUGAAAGAGCUUUAUUUUAUUACAAAAUUCCAUUUUGCAAUUCAUAAACAUAUUUCACAAAUGUCUUUUUACGAGGAAGAAACGUGAUUUAACUAUGUUAGCAGAAAUUAUAGAACAACUGCUGUUUAAACAAGCAGGAAAUUAAGCGAAAUAUUUACAUUUUUUUCAAGUCAUUCAGUCAAAGCUGAAGCUAAAUUUAGUUGAUGUGUUAUGUCGAGCUUAUGAACUAUGGAAAGACUUUACGAGGAAGGAGAAAAGCUACGAUCCAAAGCUUCAAUGAUAGACUGCGUUUCCGGCAUAAAGGGAAGAAAAUCACAUAAAAGAAAUGAAGAAGAAAGUUUUAGAAAACGAAUCAGAAAUGCUUUCCAUGGAUGUUUCGAAAUCUGUAUCAAGAAAUAUGACGACUGAUAAGAAUAAAUUAAUCUUUUUCUAAAGAAUAUAAUAAGAAAACUAUCGAAGAAUUUGGGUAAAGGAGAACUGUUAUUCUCUUCAUGAAACUAUAGAGAAAAGAAUAAUUCGCGAAAAAAGAGAAGAAAAGACAUUAUUAUGGUUUGACUACGUGUAUACUGAUAUAAUUACAACUUUGAAAAAUGUUUUUAAUUAAAAUAUAAAUGUACAAGAUAUCAAAUGUUUAGAAACAAUUGUUUUAAAAUGUAAAGUUUCAGGUCUUUUGCAAAUUUUUGCGUUGAAAGAAUUAUGAUAAAAAUUUCAAGUGCACUGGAUGUGUCUUUGAAGCAUGUUUAAGAAAGGAAAAAUUUAUCAUACGGCUUUUUAUAAAUUUUAUUUAUACUUUUAUUUUUGCUUAAAUUAAACGGAUAAUUAUUAGAAGUUAAAAAAAAAAGCAUUAUUCACAUUCCAAAUGGAAAAAUGCGCAAAAUGUAUAUUUUACUGGAAUUAAACAAGCAUAAAAUUUACUUAAUAUUAUUCAAGAAAACUCGCAUCUGUUCAUCGGUUUUGGAAGAAUUCAUCACAUGUUUAAAAGAAUUUAUUUGUAGUUUUGAAGAUGCAUUUGAAAAUGUAUUUAUUUAUUCUAUCAAAUUAAACAAGUGAUAAUGGAACAUUAGUAAGUCAAAUAAUAAACUUUUAUACCUUACCA